AUGAAGGGCAGAGUAGGGGCAUGCCUGCUUCCACCCGCGUUGCGUAGCAGGGGGUGUAUCGCAGCAUCCGCCGGUGUCGCCACGCACUGCAUCGCAGCAACCGCUGUCGUUGUCGUGCGCUGCAUAGCAGCUACGGCCGUUGUCGUCGCCGUUGUGCGCUGCAUAGCAUCAACCGCCUUUGUGGCCGCGCGCUGCGAUGGAGCACUGCCGCGUCGGCGCGGGCGUUGCAAUGAAUCAUCGCGGGCUUUUGUCGGUUCUGCGACGAAAUUCCUACAUGUCGUCGGUGCUGCGAUGGAGCGCCGCCGCGCCGGUGCUCUCGCUGCAAUGAAGCACGCCGGCUUCCGUCGAUGCUGUGAUGGAGCUGCGAUGGGGCACCGAUGCGCCGGUCUUGGCGCUACAAUGGAGGAACCGCUGCGUUGCUGUUGCUUCCAGCCAGACGCGGCGAGCCAGUCCAGCACUCGUCGGCGCCGCGCGACGGACUGA
rnacentral:rRNA from 1 species